rnacentral:rRNA from 1 species
UACGGGGGGAGCAAGCGUUGUUCGGAUUUACUGGGCGUAAAGGGCGCGUAGGCGGUCGUGACAAGUCACUUGUGAAAUCUCCGGGCUUAACUCGGAACGGUCAAGUGAUACUGUCGGACUAGAGUACAGAAGGGCAACUGGAAUUCUCGGUGUAGCGGUGAAAUGCGUAGAUAUCGAGAGGAACACCUGCGGCGAAGGCGGGUUGCUGGGCUGAUACUGACGCUGAGGCGCGAAAGCGUGGGGAGCAAACAGG